UACAGAGGGUGCGAGCGUUGUCCGGAAUCACUGGGCGUAAAGGGCGCGUAGGCGGUUUUUCAAGCGUGCGGUGAAAGCUCAGGGCUCAACCCUGAGUCGGCCGUGCGAACUGGGAGACUGGAGCACGGUAGAGGCACAUGGAAUUCCGGGUGUAGCGGUGGAAUGCGUAGAGAUCCGGAAGAACACCGGUGGCGAAGGCGGUGUGCUGGGCCGUUGCUGACGCUGAGGCGCGACAGCGUGGGGAGCAAAC
rnacentral:rRNA from 1 species